rnacentral:rRNA from 1 species
CCACCGCGGUUAGACGAGAGGCCCUAGUUAAUAAUAUAACGGCGUAAAGGGUGGUUAAGGAUUUCAAAAAAUAAAGCCAAAUGGCCCCUCGGUCGUCAUACACUUCUGGGAGUCCGAACCCCUAACACGAAAGUAGCUUUAAUAAAUUUACCCGACCCCACGAAAGCUGAGAAACAAACUGGGAUUAGAUACCCCACUAUGCUCAGCCGUAAACCCCGACAUUCAACUACAAUCAAAUGUCCGCCAGGGUACUACGAGCAUUAGCUUAAAACCCAAAGGACCUGACGGUGUCUCAGACCCCCCUAGAGGAGCCUGUUUUAGAACCGAUAACCCCCGUUAAACCUCACCACUUCUAGCCAUCUCAGCCUAUAUACCGCCGUCGUCAGCUUACCCUGUGAAGGUAAUAAAAGUAAGCAAAAUGGGUACAACCCAGAACGUCAGGUCAAGGUGUAGCCUAUGAAGUGGAAAGAAAUGGGCUACAUUUUCUGUAACAGAAUAUAACGAAUAUGCACCAUGAAACAAUGCUUAAAGGAGGAUUUAGUAGUAAAAAGGAAAUAGAGUGUCCCUUUGAACCCGGCUCUGAGACGCGUACACACCGCCCGUCACUCUCCCCUGUCAAAACGCACCAAAAAUACCUAAUAAACUAGCACUGACAAGGGGAGGCAAGUCGUAACACG